rnacentral:rRNA from 1 species
GACCUCAAAUCAGGCAAGAAUACCCGCUGAACUUAAGCAUAUCAAUAAGCGGAGGAAAAGAAACUAACAAGGAUUCCCCUAGUAACGGCGAGUGAAGAGGGAAGAGCUCAAAUUUUAAAUCUGCCUUGUUUCAAGGUCGAGUUGUAAUUUGAAGAAGCGUUUUCUUGGGCUCGCGGCCGGUAGAAGUUCUUUGGAACAGGACAUCAUAGAGGGUGACAAUCCCGUCUGCGACCGGUCGUGCGUUCAUCUACGAUACGCUUUCAAAGAGUCGAGUUGUUUGGGAUUGCAGCUCCAAAUGGGUGGUAAACAUCACCUAAGGCUAAAUAUUGGCGAGAGACCGAUAGCGAACAAGUACCGUGAGGGAAAGAUGAAAAGAACUUUGAAAAGAGAGUUAAACAGUACGUGAAAUUGUUGAAAGGGAAACGAUUGAAGUCAGUCGUGCUGGCGCGAAAUCAACCCUCUCGUUGAGAGGUCACAUGGCGUGGCGAGCCUCAAAACCGUCACGAAGCGUGAACUCUUGGCGAAAAGGAGCACUUUCGUGUCCGCUGGUUAACAUCAAUUUCGAACGUCAUAAAAAGGCUGGAGGGAUGUGGCUCCUUCGGGAGUGUUAUAACCUUUAGCGGAAUGUGGUGGUCGGGAUUGAGGAUUGCAACGAAUACCUUUAGGGCUGUUCCACCUGGCUUCUCUUUGGUAUCCUGGUGACGACAGCUUGCUGACGUUGUUAGGAUUCGCCUUUGAACAGGCUAGAGUGUGAGCAAAUUCGUUAAGGAUGUUAACGUAAUGGCUUUAAACGACCCGUCUUGAAACACGGACCAAGGAGUCUAGCAUAUAUGCGAGUGUUUGAGUGUUGAAACUCGAGCGCGAAAUGAAAGUGAUAUUGGUAAGAUCCUCUUCCCCUCGGGGGAGCGGAGCAUUAUCGACCGAUCUGGAUAUUCUUUGAUAGAUUUGAGUAAGAGCAUAUCUGUUAGGACCCGAAAGAUGGUGAACUAUGCCUGAAUAGGGCGAAGCCAGAGGAAACUCUGGU